ensembl:lncRNA
ACAGAGCUCUGGAAGGUAAGGCCCCGACAUGUUAGGGGCUGUCGGAUCCAAUCCAGCCAGCAUGAUCCUCCUCUACGAGACAAGACACAAAACCGGAAAAUAAUUCUCUUUUUGUUUUUUCUCUUUUGCAAUUGGUGUUGGUAUUUAUCUCCGGGUGUAAUUAACAGAGCAGGGUUAAGCUCUGGCUUCAGUCACAGAGCUGGAUCAAAACUGAAGACAGUGUCCACCCUGUGCUGCCUGUGUUGUGUGUGGACAAACAAAAGCACAAAGCUCUGAGCGCUUGAUCUGGGAGAGUCAUCCCCAAAAUAAGAAACAGGCGAUACGUAUAGCCAACACCAGCAACAUUUUGACCCAGCUAUGUGGGCAGUUAUCUCCAUUUCAUUCCUGUAAAACGGUACCAGCAUCAAGAUGUCUGGCUCUCAAGACCAAAACGACCGAGGAUCAGGUGUUUAACAAGUGACUGUGUUAACUGGGGACUUUCAGCCAAACGGGUCCGUGGUUGCUUCACUGACAUAUUUACGUUGGCAUAGAUAAUAAACAAAGAUGAAUCUGAACUCAAAAUGAAUUAAAUGCUUUUACAAGCACACGGCGAUGUUCUGCUGGUGUUUUCAACAGCUGCCGAGAGGCCGGUUAACACGGUCAUUUGAUAAGCUGAAACACACGCUUAUGGCUCUAAGCUGACUCCCACUGGACUGAUCAAAAAUCCAUGUGUUCGUAAUAUUCUUUUUAAAACCCAAUGAUCUAAAAACCUGUUUUACGUUCUGUACCUCGGUGGUCCCCAACCAGCGGUCUUUUUCUGAAACCUAUUGUAUAUUGAAAAAUGUGAAAUGGCUAAUUGUCAAUCAAUCCGGUCCCAUGCGUGAUCAGAAUAUUGAUUAUGAAAGACAACCAGAAAAACUGUGUGAGAAAUAAAGCAAUUAUUUGUUCUCUUUAGAAGACUUAAAACACCCAGGUGUUUUUACGUUUUUACAGUUUUACAGGAAUAUUUUCAUUAAGUCUAUGCACCAUUGGAUGUCCUACAAAUAUGGCUUAGCAGCAGUAUUUCUAGGUGACACUUUUAUUUGUCCUUUUGGCUGUAGUUUCUCCAGUGGCUGUUUAGUUAAUCACUGAACCAAAAGUAGUCGAAAGGGAAAAUUUUAUUAAGUGACACUCUUUUAUUCCACUGCUGUUUUACCGUGGAUGCCCUUGUUCGGUGGAGCUGGGGAAGCCAUCAGCAUCCAAGACACUUCAACAGAGACGUCUCUGCAGCUCAGAGGUCUGCCGGAGACCAGGUUCCAAUUUGUAGUCGACUGAGGAGUGUGGCAAGCAGGCAACGUCCCAUUAUCACCACAACCCACUCACUCUUGCUCUAUGUGGUCCAACGAGGUGACCAUCUGGGAGCGAUGGAGGAGGACGGGAUCCCAGCCCAACUCAAAAUACAGAGAAAGGAAGAUAAAGUGGUGCGCUACAGAGAGAAAGAGGGAGCCUGUCCUUUCUACUAGUGUCUGCUCACUGCUAAUCUCCCCAGGUCCUGCAUUGCCUCAUCCUAUAUGAGCUCAAAAUGGGCUGGGACCCAUGUGUCAAGGUUUGCACUGUGGGGACUAGGCUUGGCCUGAAAGCCUGGGAAACGUGUAGAUAUUUGGCCAUAUACAAUUUAGCUGCCAAGAGCAAAUAUUGCAUGCAUGUAUGCUCGUGCACAAACGCGGAAAUAGACACAUACUACAUUCAAAACCCGUGGCUAAGCAAGUGGGUGCACAACUAUGAAAAAACGCUGUAGGUAAACAGGUCGGGAACAUCGUGGUUGUGCCGAGGGAAAAAUCCCCCCUGCAGGAUCCCAGCCCCUUGUGUUCCUUCCACCACACACACACCUCACAAAUCAUCGCAGAUCUCAACAAGUCCACAUUCCUCAAGAUUCAACUUCAUGAGAAACAUAUGGCUGACGUGAAUCCCAUUAUUCCUGAUUAAGUGAGUAUUAGGGGAAACCAUCCAUAAUAAAUAUUUUAGGUAGUUAACUGGAAUUCAUUAGAUUAAUACAGCAUUGUACGGUUAAGCAAUAAGGUACGAGAGGCUGUGCUUUAUCGUCCAAUAAUGUAACUGUUCGGGGGGCGUUGUUAGGCCCGAUGCUCAGCGGAGGAACUGUUACAUUACACAGAACGCGCUGGUCUGAUGGGGAAAAGUCCAGUGUUUUGGGGACCAAACAUAUACUUCCUUGCAGUGCUGAGCUAAAAGGUGAGUCCUUGUGCUUUGACUUGACACAAAUCAAUCACAGAGAUGAAAUGUUGUCGGCGAUGAGGCGCAGCCAUUCUGUUUCUGCCUGCAGGGACGUCGCUGAAGGCUUGAGGACUCAUUGCACCAAGAAGAGAUUUGACGUGCAGGUGAUGGCGUGGCAUUCGGUCGUUGAGCUCACUCUACCCUCCAAUUCCGAGUCAUCCCACAAUCAGCUGUGAACACAGAUGAAAGGAACAAGACAGGGAUAACACGACAGGGAGCAGAAAAAAGAUGUGUAGGAAGAAAACACAGACAGGGAGAAAAAAAAAACUCCUGCAGCAAACAUUGGCGGAGGAUAAUUAGAAGGCAAGAUCUUGUCAUGCAAUGCGUCUACUCAAUUCCUGUGAUAUCCCUGAGAAGCUUCAAGCAGCCCACCCUAUAAUCCAAAGCUUAGCCAAAGGACACUACAGAGGAAGAGGACAACAUAGGAAAGAGACAGACACAACGAGAGAGUUCACAACGUCAGCAGUAAAUCAUGACUAGAAGAGGAUUUUGUCUCAUGUUUUGACACACAAUUACAUAGUUACACCUCAAUCACCACAGAAAAUAGAGCAUACGGCUCUAUGUAUGCUCUAUAAUGCUGGGCAUUAUAUUAAGUCAAUAUUUAACAGGAAGAUACAAACCAAAAAUGUGUUCAGUGCAUGACUCAUAUUGCCCGGGGCAGUGUGGGUGUAUAAACUUUAUUAGGAGCCCUGUAAACCCGGGGCACCCUUUGAUUAUUAAUUACCCAAAAAGAAGCCAUCUAUUACUGAAACCACGUCAUCCUGCUGUUGGCGGAGAAGCCAGCCAGUGAUUCAGAAUGGUGAAGCACAGGAAACAGCUCUGGCAAAUUACACUGAGGGCAGAAGGAGAGUGAAGCGGAGAAAAACAUUGUUGAGCCUGCAGGAGCACAGAAUGAGUGAAGUGGUGACAUAGAAUAAUAUCCAUUGCAAAAUAAAAAGGCCCAGAAUGAUACAAAAAUGCAGAUGUGUUAUGAAUACUAUUGUAGUGUCGUCCUGUCAUUUAAAAUAAUACCACUGUAAUAAAUGCUGGUGUUUGGUAAAAACCAAACCUGCCUCAUGCAAAAGCACAAUAAGUAGUUUUGAGGAUAUAUUCCUCUUUUUGUUACAUAUUUGCAUUCAUAGAUUUUCUUUUAUGCUAUAGAGGUUUUUACAUGUUUGCAUAUAUUUGUUAUUUUAUGUUUUAAUAUUUUUCAUAGCUGUUUAUGUAUUUCAUGUUUCUGGUUCUCUUUUUAUACAUUACUGUCAAGGGUAGGAACAAUGCAUUUUUUUUAUGUAUGUAUGUGACAAAUAAUAAGAAAGUAAAAUAAAUGUCACUUAAAUGAUCAGUUGACACCUGCAGUACUUUUGUAUGAGAACAAAUAAAGAAAAAAAUAGCCCCGUUCACUUCUGGUUUGAUCUAGAACUUUUCAACCUCAGUCGAUUCAUUAGCACUUUCCCUGAGUAGCUGCAUCCGCUCCGUCUGCCUGGAGAUUUAUGCCUGAAAGUGCAAAAGACAGCGAGGGAAAGCACUCUCUGAUUUCAGACUCUCUUUUUUCUUUUUCCUUUCCGCUUCCUCCUCGCAGACCCAAUCCCACCUCCUCUACCCUCCUACUGCCGCCCAUAACGGCACUGAUCUAUGAAAACAUACAAACAUGACACUGAGCCUAUGAUAAACACCAGGUCUGUAUUUGGGGAGUGGAGGAAAUUGACUCCAGUUCAGGAUGUGACCACUACCUCUGCCCAGAUCAAUCAUACUCCAACAGACCUGCGUGUGGGGGGCAACCAUAUCAGAACAGGGGGGUUGGGUGGCGUACACACACAUACACACACACACACACAAUAGACACACUCACACAACAAAAGCCCUGGACAUUUCUGUGCAGUACAAUGCGCACAUGGGCACAGCACACACAAAGUUAAGUCCCCCCGGCAGGCAGGUAAAGAAUGAGCCCGCUGCAACUGGAUUCCAGGGCAGCGGUGCUGGGUUUACACUUUCAACUCCCCCUGCCUUAUCUCUCAGAUUAGCUCGAUAAGAGAAUUAUGAAGCCAGACGGACAUCUAAAGCUUCCUGGGGGGUCAACGGUGUGAUGAGAGACAGCCCGCGAGGGGAGACCGCCGCCUCUGAACCGCUUAACUCUCCCACAACAUAUGAGCGCACACGUGCACUUAUGUGCACAGACCCCGACCCCGGGGCUCAACUUUUUCAUUGCUCCAUCAUCCCUACUGCCCUUUAUCGGAAAGAGAAGGAGCGGGAAAGAAAGGAGGAGGGAAGAAAAGGACGGGGCUCAGUACAGAUAGCCUUGCUUCUGCAACUUCCUUCCUGUGCAUUCCAGGUUUUGUGAGCCUCUUUCAAGGACAAAGAGCUGAAACUCACUUCCCUCUUUCUUCUGAAGAUUCUGAGGAAAAAAAAUGAGAGUUCCUCCACGAGUCGCAGGAAGCAGCAAGAGUGAUAAAUUAUGGUGGUCAGGAAGUCACCUGGUCACAGGAGCAACUCAGCACUGUGCAGGUACGAACAUCUGGUCAUGAAAUGUGUUCAUGAACAUGAACAGUGGGCGUGAAAUAUUCCUACAGGUGUUUAGAAUAGACAAAUAUAUGUAUAUAUAAUGUAAUUAUUUAAUUGUAAUUUGAAAUUAGAAUUUGCAAAAUUCCAACUUCUGAAAAAUUCAGCCCAAAUCUCAAAACUAUUGGAUGGCAGCCCUCUUGUGCUACUAACAAGUUGUAAAAAUGAAAGAAAUGUCAAUAACUGUUCCAUCUGAGGACAACAUGGAGAAUUAUAUUUACCAUAUGUUGGAUGCUGUUCCCUACCACCUAGCACUAAAAACAAGCCUAGGGAUUUGCUGUUAGCAGAAGCGAAUGUGUGCCCUCACCAAUCACACAUCGUCCCCAAACUCAACACGAUUCCAGACCCUAAAACCCUUUAAAGGAGCAACAAGCACUGCACCAACCGCGCCCCAAACCUGUACGCGUUUCCCUCGCAUCCAGAGAGAAACAGCAAUUCUCGGCGUCCCUCCAUCCCAUGAUUCAUCCUCCAGCGCUGUCAUCUGUGACCGGUGACGCGCCGUGCUGCCAUAAUGAAACCUUUUUGCGGGGACUGCAGCUGCGCCGACACUUCUAAUCUAAUCCCGAGCUCUGGUAUCCUCUUCACCUAUGAACCGCGCAAAAAUGCCCCUACGGACCCCUUAAUGCAGACGCCGUUCACACUCGUGCCCUCACCCUUGGCUGCAACCAGCCAGCCUCUCAUGCCAUGUUAAUUUAAUCCUAAAACACUUCCUAUGGCAGCCUGUUAAUGUCAGGGUAGAUUUCCUCCGCCUGCUGGGUAACCCAGAAAAGAGCACCACCCUGCCACUUUGCCAGGAACCUUCCUCGGUUUAGUCCUUCCCAACAAACAGCAAAUAUGCUUCAAAAACCAAUAAACCCACCUCUGAUAUUUAUUAGGCCGUGAUUCAAGUAUUCCCCGCCUACUCGGCCAAAUGGAGACGCACACGCAUGCGAGUGUAUGCACACACUCAUACACACAAACACACGCAGGCGGUCACACGCCUUUCGUCAGCUGCAGACGUAUUAGUAAUUCUAAUGAGGAGCAGGAGAUUAAAGGGUUGCAUUGUCUUGGGUGUUACACUACACGUCGAGCUCUACCAGGGGGACCAGAGGUCAAGAAGAGGAACACGGAUGAAGGAAGUUGAGAACAUUUCUUGAUUAAAGGCCUCUGUAACAUCUAACCUUUGACAGACUCGUCGGUGCUCCGACAGCAUAUGCUGCCCGGCCCAGGUCGACGGGUUUGUUCCUGCUAAAGAAAAGAGGAUAAAGGAUCAUAUUCUGGGACUCGGACUUGGUGAUCAUAAAUAUUCUGAGGAGUAUGUGAUGCACUUACAUCAAACACGUAUUGAAAAGGUAGAACGCUGAGGCUGGAUUCUGAAAAAUGCUGACCGAGAUAUCGAAAACAAAACAGUUCCCAUGCUAAAAACAACUUUAUGGGGCGCAUCUCCACCUUUUCCUCUCAUUCAUUCAUUCAAGCCACUGUUUCCUCAAGUCCCCUGACCUUACAACUGCCUCACCCCCACCCAGCAGUUUGCUUAUCAAUCCUCCCUCAGCUCCGUCAUCAAUCUCCCAGUGAAAAUCUCCUUGUUUCUGCCAGUUGUUUCCUCGACUGCCCGCGUAUUUGCUAAGACCCCGCAAAGGCUCCCCCUUUCCUGCCGAGUGAGUCGAAGGCUAAUAAAACUGUCUUGGUCAGUCAUAAGACACCAAGGGGGAGAGCGAGAGGGAGGGGAGGAGGGUGGGGUUGCUGGGGGGGUAGCAGGGUCACGGCUCAGAACAGCCUCAGUCGGACCUUACUGGCUCAGCCGAGGGGAGGUUCUCGCUUUUUAGACCUCCAAACCUUGAGGAUGAUAAAUGGCAUUUAAAGGAGACAGUAAAACACAACCAUUGCAUAAAGUCAUCAGUUAAACUUAAUUACAAAAUAUAUGGGGGUUUGAUUGAAUGGGUCUCAGGGGAGUGAUCGGGGAGAGAAGCUGCAGGCCGGCCGUAGAAAGUCGCCCGACGAGCGGCCACAUAUUCCCUUGAAGUGGAACCUGGUCUGUGUAAAGGACGUCAGUGAUGAUUCAUCCUGGGCCGCCAUUAAAGCAAACGUUGGUCACCACCACACCAUGCCUUCCUUAAGAAGAAACCUGAAAACAUCCAGGCAAUUCAUUUAAAAUCAUGUUCUUAGACUCCCAAGAGCAACAUCCUACGCUUGUUUGUAAGAACCAGUGUGAGAAUGACUGUACCUGCUUCUUCAACAUCAACCCAAUCAACUGCAAAAUGUGGUCCAGUAACAUGCAAUUUACAGACCUAACACAUUUCAUCAGGUAUCAGUGUAGGAUCUCAUUCCCCAGACAAGAACCUUGAAAAAAAACACAGAAUUAGAAAAUUCUGCCAAACCACCGAUUACAAUCAGUAACUGACUUUUCUAAACUAAUUUGUUCCUGACUGUUAUCUGGUGUUUUAAAUUGCAAAUCAGGUGACUUUUGAGUUUUGGCGUGCGGGACAUAAACAUAAUGAACAAUCUAAUGAAGCUUUGAAGUUGAUUGAAAAUCUGGAUUCAUUGUUUCCUUGUAAUGCACACGAGGCCAAUAUUGUUCAAUUAUCAUAAAUAAAGUGACCAAUGUGUAUAACUUUAUAGCACUUAAUCACAAGUGUGUUUGGUAAACCUGGGGAACAAGAGAUUGUUUAUUAACAGCCAUUCAUCAUAUAUACAUAUGGCAAACAUGGCAGCAGUGCCAUAGAGAUUAGAAUGCAUGCUUUAUGUAAGUUACCACGUCUGGUUUUCCUUGUAGGUGUGUGUGUGUGUGUGUGUGUGUGUGUGUGUGUGUGUACCUGUUACGUUUCUGUCUGAGGACUUUGUUACUGCUUCUGAGUGUUGGGGUGCAGCCGUGCAUGCAAUCAGUCUGGUUUUAAAUAUUUUUUUAAAUGUUGGACCUCCUAUAACUCAAAAAAACACAAUCACAUAUUCCCCAAAACGCACACACACAUAAAUGCAAAGACGUUUGUACAUAAUUUCAAGCAAAAUGAUUCAUGCCUCUUUCUUAUUGAACACGAUUUGUUUCUC